rnacentral:lncRNA from 1 species
CACAAUUUUUUAUUUACGUCAGUAAUCAUAAUCUUGACAUAAAAGUUCAUAGUACCAUGUGGUCUUCUAUAUAAGCAGAGGGUAACAAUGACUUUGAAAAGUCAUAAGGUCGAAGAUCAAGUUCAUGUCCUUGAUCGUAGUUGUUUUAUUUUUGACUCUAGUUGAAUGGUUUUAUGUUUAUUUUAAAGCUUUUAAAUGCAUUUUACGUGUAUCUACAUGGUUUUUUUUUCGAUAUAAAGAAGUUCACUAUAUAAAUAACACAUAGAUGAGAAGGUGAUAGAGCAGAUUGUUUCACCAAUAAACAUUGUCAGCUCAGACUCAUUUUGCAUUUUGACUGGAAAUAUAAUAAAACUAUUAUUAUUUAUAUUUGUGUUUAGUCAUUUUGUGUUUUAUGUUGAUCUGAUGAAAUAAACCUUUU